rnacentral:lncRNA from 1 species
UAUUUCUGACAGAAUCAAAUUCCAUAAUUAAAAUAUUUUCCAACAUCCUUCAUUAAGAAACUUUAUCAUUCUAGGAGGAAUUGUCGAUAAGGAUCUUCGUCACUACCUCAACUUACGAUUUCAGAAGGGUUCUGUGGACCACGAACUGCAGCAAAUCAUCCGUGACAACCUCUACCUCCGCACGGUGCCAUGAGAAACCUGGGUUUGUGGACCAUGCGUGGGAUAGGCAGAUGGUAUGAAUACUCUCGGGCUUCAAUGGCUCCAGCAUCUGGCCUAGAGAAGAAUCAGAGGGGAGUGCUGAAAACCUUUUCUCCACUUCCAGAAAAGCCGGUAAUCAUAGUCAGUGGAAAACAGCUCAUCUUUCAUGGAGCCCAGAAUCUGCUCCCUGUAGACAUCGAAAUUAUAACCCAGUUGUAUAUAAAGAGGUCAACAUAUCUCAUUGUAUG